GACGAACGCUGGCGGUAUGCUUAACACAUGCAAGUCGAACGAGAAGUCUUUUAUUGAACCUUCGGGGGAUAUAAGAGACAGACAGUGGCGAACGGGUGAGUAACGCGUGGGCAACCUACCUAUCGGAGCGGGAUAGCCUCGAGAAAUCGGGAGUAAAACCGCAUAACACGGAUAUAUCGCAUGAUGAAUCCGUCAAAACUCCGGUGCCGAUAGAUGGGCCCGCGUCUGAUUAGCUAGUUGGUAAGGUAAGGGCUUACCAAGGCAACGAUCAGUAGCCGGUCUGAGAGGGCGAACGGCCACACUGGAACUGAGACACGGUCCAGACUCCUACGGGAGGCAGCAGUGGGGAAUAUUGCGCAAUGGGGGCAAACCCCUGACGCAGCAAUACCGCGUGAGUGAAGAAGGUUUUCGGAUCGUAAAGC
rnacentral:rRNA from 1 species